rnacentral:rRNA from 1 species
UGAGGAAUAUUGCGCAAUGGGCGAAAGCCUGACGCAGCGACGCCGCGUGAGCGAUGAAGGCCUUCGGGUUGUAAAGCUCUGUGGGGAGGGAAGAAUAAGCGCCAGCCAAUACCUGGCGUGAUGACGGUACCUCCUUAGCAAGCACCGGCUAACUCUGUG